UACGGGGGGGGUAAGCGUUGUUCGGAAUUACUGGGCGUAAAGGGCUCGUAGGCGGCCAACUAAGUCAGACGUGAAAUCCCUCAGCUUAACUGGGGAACUGCGUCUGAUACUGGAUGGCUUGGAUUCGGGAGAGGAAUGCGGAAUUCCAGGUGUAGCGGUGAAAUGCGUAGAUAUCUGGAGGAACACCGGUGGCGAAGGCGGCAUUCUGGACCGACAUUGACGCUGAGGAGCGAAAAGCGUGGGUAGCGAACAGG
rnacentral:rRNA from 1 species